rnacentral:rRNA from 1 species
CGAAGGGGGCGAGCGUUGUUCGGAAUUACUGGGCGUAAAGCGUGCGCAGGCGGUUUUGUAAGACAGAUGUGAAAUCCCCGGGCUCAACCUGGGACCUGCAUUUGUGACUGCAAGGCUAGAGUACGGUAGAGGGGGAUGGAAUUCCGCGUGUAGCAGUGAAAUGCGUAGAUAUGCGGAGGAACACCGAUGGCGAAGGCAAUCCCCUGGACCUGUACUGACGCUCAUGCACGAAAGCGUGGGGAGCAAACAGGAUUAGAUACCCUGGUAGUCCACGCCCUAAACGAUGUCAACUGGUUGUUGGGUCUUUACUGACUCAGUAACGAAGCUAACGCGUGAAGUUGACCGCCUGGGGAGUACGGCCGCAAGGUUG